AGGCGCGUAAGAAAACCCCGCCAAACUCGUUCCACGUGGGUGAUUCAGUGAACGAGUGUAACGUAAUAACUGGUGUUCAGUCAUGGCACAGCUGGCAAAGAAGUUGGUGUCUGAAUAUGAAGCUCUACGCAACAAGAAUUUGGCCGACAACCAGGCUGUGUUGGCUAAAUUGAUGGAAGAUUUAAAGAAAAGCUUUCCGCAAAAACCUCCACCAAGGAAACCACGUACCUCGAGGAAGAGCAUCAGUGAAGGUCCCAUUAGACGGAACCCGUCUCGCCAUGCCAGGAGUACUUUCAGUCUGGACCCUCCCCGCACUCGAGCACGCAGGGGGUCAGUGUCAUCAACAGUGUCUUCUGCAUCCUCUUCAACAUCACCUUCAUCGUCGCCAGAGAAAAUGGUUGUGAGGUUUGGCUUUUUCCGCAAAGCAGAUCGUCUGGAUGGCGACAGUGAUGAGGUGGAUUCCAAUAUGGACGAGGAUGAGCUCCCGGCUCCUGUGAGGAGGCCUCGAAUUGUUGUCGAGGAGAAAGCAGCAGAAGACAUCACUGAUGAAGACCUUGACCUUGUAGCCAAUUUCGUCAGUGAUAAGAAGUAUGAUAGUUACUAUGGUUCGUCGUGUCACCAGUGUAGACAGAAGACGCAGGACAUGAAGACAGUGUGCAGGUCUGGCAAGUGUUUCGGAGUCCGAGGACAGUUUUGUGGCCCUUGUCUCAGGAAUAGAUAUGGGGAAGAUGCUAAAGAAGCGUUAAAAAAACCCUAGUUGGAUGUGUCCCCCGUGCAGAGGUAUCUGCAACUGUAGUUUUUGUCGAAAGAAGGCUGGCAAGUCCUGCACUGGGAUCCUCAUCCAUCUAGCCAGGGAGAAUGGUUUCAGUGAUGUCAACGCUUAUUUACAAAGUUUCAGGAAGUAACACUCAACUCACAAGAAGGCAAGGUGGUAAAGAGGCAGCUACGAUGGUUUCUGCAUCUGAAAAGGCAGCUGCGAUGGUUUCUACAUCUGAAAAGGCAGCUGCGAUGGUUUCUACAUCUGAAAAGGCAGCUGCGAUAGUUUUUACAUCUGAAAAGGCAGCUACAAUCGAUUUCUGCAUAUGAAAACGCAGCUUCGAUGAUUUCUGCAUCUGAAGACGCAGCUUCGAUGGUUUCUGCAUCUGAAGACGCAGCUUCAAUGGUUUCUGCAUCUGAAGACGCAG
rnacentral:misc_RNA from 1 species